GAUGAAGAACGCAGCGAAAUGCGAUACGUAAUGUGAAUUGCAGAAUUCAGUGAAUCAUCGAAUCUUUGAACGCAUAUUGCGCUCUCUGGUAUUCCGGAGAGCAUGCUUGUUUGAGUAUCAGUAAACACCUCAACUUCCAUAUCUUUUUUGAAAUGGGAGUUGGACUUGAGUGAUCCCAACGCUUUUCCUCACCGAAAAGUGGCGGGUUACUUGAAAUGCAGGUGCAGCUGGACUUUUCUCUGAGCUAUAAGCAUAUCUAUUUAGUCUGCCUAAAAAACAGAUUAUUACCGUUGCUGCAGCUAACAUAAAGGAGAUUAGUUCUUGUGCUGACUGAUGCAGGAUUCACAAAGACAGGCUUCGGCCGACUUUGUAAACUCGAUCUCAAAUCAAGUAAGACUACCCGCUGAACUUAAGCAUAUCAAUAAGCGGAGGA
rnacentral:misc_RNA from 1 species